CCUGGUCGGGGCAGCCUGGUCAGCAGAACCUCAUCAGUGGGGGCCUGUGACAUGGAUCUGCCCCUGUCAGUGGCCUGGUGGUUAAGGUAAAAAUGUCAGGUGAGAUGGACAGAAAACUGGCUCAAAGUGCUUAAUGGCUGGAAGAAAUCUAGGAGCACAAGAAGGUUACGUGGAGAGGGCAGGGCCACCACGACUGCUGUCUGCACAGCCAGGGAUACAGGCACCCAGUGCUGUGGCCUGACACCACCUGCCUCUCAGAUGGUGGGUGGUACACUGUCCUUACCUGGAGGACAGCAGGCCUGGGCACCAGCUUUUCUAUCUGUCCCUGCAAGCAUCACUCUCAUGCCAGGGCCUGGACCACCCCUAGCUCAGGGGUUAGGGGUAUCUCUUGGUGACCUAAAAUAAAAAAUAAGUCUAGAUCAGAGCUCCCAACCCGAGCACUCACCCACUCU